GUAUCUGGCUCAGGAUGAACGCUAGCUACAGGCUUAACACAUGCAAGUCGAGGGGCAGCAUGACCUAGCAAUAGGUUGAUGGCGACCGGCGCACGGGUGAGUAACACGUAUCCAACCUACCGGUUAUUCCGGGAUAGCCUUUCGAAAGAAAGAUUAAUACCGGAUAGUAUAACGAGAAGGCAUCUUUUUGUUAUUAAAGAAUUUCGAUAACCGAUGGGGAUGCGUUCCAUUAGUUUGUUGGCGGGGUAACGGCCCACCAAG
rnacentral:rRNA from 1 species